rnacentral:sRNA from 1 species
AGCGAGAGAACGUUGCGUCAGCAACGGCCCGCAGGGCGAGCCACGCAGUGGCGAGUCAUCCUCUAUCACCGGCAG